GUUUUAGGAGACCAAAGUCCCUGC
rnacentral:piRNA from 1 species